UACGUAGGGGGCGAGCGUUGUCCGGAUUUACUGGGCGUAAAGCGCGUGUAGGCGGCCCCAUAAGUCGGGUGUGAAAGCCCGGGGCUCAACCCCGGGAUGCCGCUCGAGACUGCGGGGCUUGAGGACGGAAGAGGGGCGUGGAAUUCCUGGUGUAGCGGUGAAAUGCGUAGAGAUCAGGAGGAACACCCGUGGCGAAGGCGGCGCCCUGGUCCGUUACUGACGCUGAGACGCGAAAGCGCGGGGAGCGAACGGG
rnacentral:rRNA from 1 species